rnacentral:lncRNA from 1 species
GAAUCACAUAAAAUUGAGGAGAAGAGGGCGGAAUUUUUACUGGACGACUUCAACUUCAACUUCACCACUUAUGACUCCGAGUAUAAUAGUUUCCUAUUAAGAAGCAACGCUCUAUAAAGAAAUAAAUAGCUAUAGGACAUGCAAGCUCUGGUAUAUUGGUUUAGCUGGUAGAUACAUGUAUAUACUCCAUAUACAGGCGCUGCUGGAAUGCUGUUCCAUAAAAGUUAAAAGUUCUAAUUGGUAAGCUGAAAACAUCUUUUUUGUUUGGUUGGACAGAUGCGUUCAACAUCGUCAAUUAAUUUUAAACUAUUUAUAGAGAGGACAUAAUCUGUUUUGGGGAACG